rnacentral:rRNA from 1 species
UUUAUGGAGAGUUUGAUCCUGGCUCAGAGUGAACGCUGGCGGCGUGCCUAAUACAUGCAAGUCGAACGAUGAAGCUUCUAGCUUGCUAGAAUGCUGAUUAGUGGCGCACGGGUGAGUAACGCAUAGGUCAUGUGCCUCUUAGUUUGGGAUAGCCAUUGGAAACGAUGAUUAAUACCAGAUACUCCCUACGGGGGAAAGAUUUAUCGCUAAGAGAUCAGCCUAUGUCCUAUCAGCUUGUUGGUAAGGUAAUGGCUUACCAAGGCUAUGACGGGUAUCCGGCCUGAGAGGGUGAACGGACACACUGGAACUGAGACACGGUCCAGACUCCUACGGGAGGCAGCAGUAGGGAAUAUUGCUCAAUGGGGGAAACCCUGAAGCAGCAACGCCGCGUGGAGGAUGAAGGUUUUAGGAUUGUAAACUCCUUUUGUUAGAGAAGAUAAUGACGGUAUCUAACGAAUAAGCACCGGCUAACUCCGUGCCAGCAGCCGCGGUAAUACGGAGGGUGCAAGCGUUACUCGGAAUCACUGGGCGUAAAGAGCGCGUAGGCGGGAUAGUCAGUCAGGUGUGAAAUCCUAUGGCUUAACCAUAGAACUGCAUUUGAAACUACUAUUCUAGAGUGUGGGAGAGGUAGGUGGAAUUCUUGGUGUAGGGGUAAAAUCCGUAGAGAUCAAGAGGAAUACUCAUUGCGAAGGCGACCUGCUGGAACAUUACUGACGCUGAUUGCGCGAAAGCGUGGGGAGCAAACAGGAUUAGAUACCCUGGUAGUCCACGCCCUAAACGAUGGAUGCUAGUUGUUGGAGGGCUUAGUCUCUCCAGUAAUGCAGCUAACGCAUUAAGCAUCCCGCCUGGGGAGUACGGUCGCAAGAUUAAAACUCAAAGGAAUAGACGGGGACCCGCACAAGCGGUGGAGCAUGUGGUUUAAUUCGAAGAUACACGAAGAACCUUACCUAGGCUUGACAUUGAGAGAAUCCGCUAGAAAUAGUGGAGUGUCUAGCUUGCUAGACCUUGAAAACAGGUGCUGCACGGCUGUCGUCAGCUCGUGUCGUGAGAUGUUGGGUUAAGUCCCGCAACGAGCGCAACCCCCUUUCUUAGUUGCUAACAGGUCAUGCUGAGAACUCUAAGGAUACUGUCUCCGUAAGGAGGAGGAAGGUGGGGACGACGUCAAGUCAUCAUGGCCCUUACGCCUAGGGCUACACACGUGCUACAAUGGGGUGCACAAAGAGAAGCAAUACUGCGAAGUGGAGCCAAUCUUCAAAACACCUCUCAGUUCGGAUUGUAGGCUGCAACUCGCCUGCAUGAAGCUGGAAUCGCUAGUAAUCGCAAAUCAGCCAUGUUGCGGUGAAUACGUUCCCGGGUCUUGUACUCACCGCCCGUCACACCAUGGGAGUUGUGUUUGCCUUAAGUCAGGAUGCUAAAUUGGCUACUGCCCACGGCACACACAGCGACUGGGGUGAAGUCGUAACAAGGUAACCGUAGGUGAACCUGCGGUUGGAUCACCUCCUUUCUAGA